AGAGACACAAUGACAUCAGAACAGUGACAUCACUGCAAACUGCCAAUCAGAGAAGGCAUGCCCAGAACACCAGCUAGCACAGGACCAGGACCCUGAUCAGGGAGGCACCCUGUCCAGUUCUGCCCCACCCAGCAUGGGCUCCAGGCUGCUCUGCUGGGUGGCCCUUUGUCUCCUGGGAAUGGGCCGAGUAGAUUCCGGAGUCACCCAAACACCAAGACACCUGAUUAAAGCAAAAGGACAGCAAGUGACACUGAAAUGUUCCCUUAUGUCUGGGCACAAAAGUGUGUUCUGGUACCAACAGGCCCUGGGCCAAGGGCCCCAGUUCCUUAUUCAAUAUUAUAAUAGAAUGGAGAGUGAAAGAGGAAACUUCCCAGAUCGAUUCUCAGCUCAACAGUUCAGUGACUUUAGCUCUGAGCUCAACAUGAGCUCCUUGCAGCUGGAGGACUCGGCACUGUAUCUCUGUGCCAGCAGCUUAGGCACAGCCCUGCAGAGUCAUCAACCUUCCGUGUACAAACCUCCCUGCCCCAGCAAGGAGCAACCUCAGACUGACUUAUCUGUGAGACUAAAGAGACUGCAGUAG